rnacentral:tRNA from 1 species
ACUACUUUGGCAGAAUAGUGUAAUAGGGUUAGAUCCUAUAAAUGUGAUAAAUGUCACAGGUAGAA